AUACGAAGGGGGCUAGCGUUGCUCGGAGUGACUGGGCGUAAAGGGUCGUGUAGGCGGUUUUUGACAGUCAGAUGUGAAAUCCCCGGGCUUAACCUGGGAGCUGCAUUUGAGACGUUAAGACUAGAGUGUGAGAGAGGGUUGUGGAAUUCCCAGUGUAGAGGUGAAAUUCGUAGAUAUUGGGAAGAACACCGGUGGCGAAGGCGGCAACCUGGCUCAUUACUGACGCUGAGGCGCGAAAGCGUGGGGAGC
rnacentral:rRNA from 1 species